rnacentral:rRNA from 1 species
CUACGGAGGGUGCAAGCGUUAAUCGGAAUUACUGGGCGUAAAGAGUACGUAGGUGGUUUGUUAAGUCAGAUGUGAAAGCCCCGGGCUCAACCUGGGAACUGCAUUUGAAACUGGCAAGCUAGAGUAUGGUAGAGGGGGGUAGAAUUUCUAGUGUAGCGGUGAAAUGCGUAGAUAUUAGAAGGAAUACCAGUGGCGAAGGCGGCCCCCUGGACCAAUACUGACACUGAGGUACGAAAGCGUGGGUAGCGAACAGGAUUAGAAACCCUAGUAGUCC